CCUACGGGAGGCAGCAGUGAGGAAUAUUGGUCAAUGGGCGGGAGCCUGAACCAGCCAAGCCGCGUGAAGGAAGAAGGCGCCAAGCGUCGUAAACUUCUUUUGUCGGGGAACAAAGGGCGCCACGUGUGGCGUUGUGAGUGUACCCGAAGAAAAAGCAUCGGCUAACUCCGUGCCAGCAGCCGCGGUAAUACGGAGGAUGCGCGCGUUAUCCGGAUUUAUUGGGUUAAAAGGGUGCGUAGGCGGGCCGGAAAGUCAGCGGGAAAAGCCCGGGGCUCAAACCCGGCGAGCCGUUGAAACUGUCGGACUAGAGACGGCGAGAAGUACGCGGAAUGCGCGGUGUAGCGGUGAAAUGCAUAGAUAUCGCGCAGAACUCCGAUUGCGAAGGCAGCGUACCGGCGCCGGACUGACGCUGAGGCACGAAAGCGUGGGUAUCGAACAGGAUUAGAUACCCUGGUAGUC
rnacentral:rRNA from 1 species